UUGUUGGAGAGUUUGAUCCUGGCUCAGGACGAACGCUGGCGGCGUGCUUCACACAUGCAAGUCGAACGGAAAGGCCCGC
rnacentral:rRNA from 1 species